GACGAACGCUGGCGGCGUGCCUAAUACAUGCAAGUCGAGCGCAGGAAGUCGACGGAACCCUUCGGGGGGAAGUCGACGGAAUGAGCGGCGGACGGGUGAGCAACACGUAAAGAACCUGCCCUCAGGUCUGGGAUAACCACGAGAAAUCGGGGCUAAUACCGGAUGGGUCAUCGGACCGCAUGGUCCGAGGAUGAAAGGCGCUUCGGCGUCGCCUGGGGAUGGCUUUGCGGUGCAUUAGCUAGUUGGUGGGGUAAUGGCCCACCAAGGCGACGAUGCAUAGCCGACCUGAGAGGGUGAUCGGCCACACUGGGACUGAGACACGGCCCAGACUCCUACGGGAGGCAGCAGUAGGGAAUCUUCCACAAUGGACGAAAGUCUGAUGGAGCAACGCCGCGUGAACGAUGAAGGCCUUCGGGUCGUAAAGUUCUGUUGUAAGGGAAGAACAAGUGCCGCAGGCAAUGGCGGCACCUUGACGGUACCUUGCGAGAAAGCCACGGCUAACUACGUGCCAGCCGCCGCAGUAAAAC
rnacentral:rRNA from 1 species